rnacentral:rRNA from 1 species
GAGUUUGAUCUUGGCUCAGAACGAACGCUGGCGGCAUGCCUAACACAUGCAAGUCGAACGAAGGCUUCGGCCUUAGUGGCGCACGGGUGCGUAACGCGUGGGAAUCUGCCCUUUGCUUCGGAAUAACAGUGGGAAACUACUGCUAAUACCGGAUGAUGUCUUCGGACCAAAGAUUUAUCGGCAAGGGAUGAGCCCGCGUAGGAUUAGGUAGUUGGUGGGGUAAAGGCCUACCAAGCCGACGAUCCUUAGCUGGUCUGAGAGGAUGAUCAGCCACACUGGGACUGAGACACGGCCCAGACUCCUACGGGAGGCGGCAGUGGGGAAUAUUGGACAAUGGGGGGAACCCGUGAUCCAGCAAUGCCGCGUGAGUGAUGAAGGCCUUAGGGUUGUAAAGCUCUUUUACCAGGGAUGAUAAUGACAGUACCUGGAGAAUAAGCUCCGGCUAACUCCGUGCCAGCCGCCGCCGU